rnacentral:lncRNA from 1 species
UCAAAAACCAUUAUGUUUCUUUCUUUCCAUAAGGCCCAAAAAGUAGCCAAAGAUUUAAGACUUAAUCUCUCUUGUCUCUUUUGACGCCCCUCCAAGCAUGAAGCUCCUCGUUUUUUUUACAUAAAAAGUGUGAAAUUAUAUUAACAUGGUACCAAAUAAUCGGGGGUACUGCCCUUAUACAAAAUCUUUACAAUGUAUUUAGCCCAUCAA